AACGAACGCUGGCGGCAGGCUUAACACAUGCAAGUCGAGCGCCCCGCAAGGGGAGCGGCAGACGGGUGAGUAACGCGUGGGAAUCUACCCAUCUCUACGGAAUAACGCAUGGAAACGUGUGCUAAUACCGUAUACGUCAUUCGGGAGAAAGAUUUAUCGGAGAUGGAUGAGCCCGCGUUGGAUUAGCUAGUUGGUGGGGUAAAGGCCUACCAAGGCGACGAUCUAUAGCUGGUCUGAGAGGAUGAUCAGCCACACUGGGACUGAGACACGGCCCAGACUCCUACGGGAGGCAGCAGUGGGGAAUAUUGGACAAUGGGCGCAAGCCUGAUCCAGCCAUGCCGCGUGAGUGAUGAAGGCCCUAGGGUUGUAAAGCUCUUUCACCGGUGAAGAUAAUGACGGUAACCGGAGAAGAAGCCCCGGCUAACUUCGUGCCAGCCGCCGCGGUAAAAC
rnacentral:rRNA from 1 species